GGUUAAGUUAGAAAGGGCGCACGGUGGAUGCCUUGGCACUAGGAGCCGAAGAAGGACGGGACUAACUCCGAUAUGCUCCGGGGAGCUGUAAGUAAGCUUUGAUCCGGAGAUUUCCGAAUGGGGAAACCCUCUGUCCGUAAUGGGACAGAAUCCCUGCCUGAAUACAUAGGGCAGGAGAAGGCAGACCCGGGGAACUGAAACAUCUAAGUACCCGGAGGAAGAGAAAGCAAACGCGAUUCCCUGAGUAGCGGCGAGCGAAACGGGACCAGCCCAAACCAGAAGGCUUGCCUUCUGGGGUUGUAGGACACUCUAUACGGAGUGACAAAGGAAUGAAGCAGGCGAAGAGGUCUGGAAAGACCCAUCAGAGAAGGUAACAAUCCUGUAGCCGAACCUUCAUUCCCUCCAGAGUGGAUCCUGAGUACGGCGGAACACGUGAAAUUCCGUCGGAAUCCGGGAGGACCAUCUCCCAAGGCUAAAUACUCCCUAGUGACCGAUAGUGAACCAGUACCGUGAGGGAAAGGUGAAAAG
rnacentral:ncRNA from 1 species